rnacentral:rRNA from 1 species
AACAUGUGUUUUUGCAAUGAAUGUCUUAGCUCAAUUGACGAUGAAGAAUGCAGCAAAAUGCGAUAUGCAUUGUGAAUUGCAGAAUUCCGUGAGCCAACAGAUGUUUGAACGUAGUUUGCACCUUCGGGAUAUGCUUGAAGGUAUGCUUGAUUCAAUGUUAACU